rnacentral:pre_miRNA from 1 species
UUGAUGACCGGUUUCGUGCCUAAUGCACAUCUUCACUGCUACAAUUUUGACCUGAAGAUGUGCUAUUAGGCACGAAACCGGUCACCA